AAACGUGUAGCUCAAUAGGUAAGAGCAUGAGACUGGCGUCUCAAGGUUCCGGGUUCGAGUCCCGGCAUGUGCU
rnacentral:tRNA from 1 species